rnacentral:piRNA from 1 species
UUACUUUGGUUUUCAUUACUUGGGUGUUU